CAACUACUCCCUCUGUCCCAAAUUUCUUGUCUUAGAUUUGUCUAGAUAUGGAUGUAUCUAAUACUAAAAUGUGACUUGAUACAUCCGUAUCUAGACAAAUCUAAGACAAGAAUUUUGGGACGGAGCGAGUAGUUU
rnacentral:pre_miRNA from 1 species